rnacentral:tRNA from 1 species
GGGAAUAGCUCAGUGGUAGAGUACAUACCUAGCAUGCAUGAGGUCCUAGGUUCAACCCUCAGUAUUUCCA